ensembl:snRNA U6 U6 spliceosomal RNA
GUGCUCACUUCAGCAGCACAUAUACUAAAAUUGGAGUGAUACAGAGAAUAUUAGCAUGGCCCUAGUAUAAGGAUGACACAAAAAUUCAUGAGGCAUUCCAUAUUUUU